rnacentral:rRNA from 1 species
GACGAACGCUGGCGGCGUGCUUAACACAUGCAAGUCGAACGGAAAGGCCCUGCUUUUGUGGGGUGCUCGAGUGGCGAACGGGUGAGUAACCCGUGAGUAACCUGCCCUUGACUUUGGGAUAACUUCAGGAAACUGGGGCUAAUACCGGAUAGGAGCUCCUGCUGCAUGGUGGGGGUUGGAAAGUUUCGGCGGUUGGGGAUGGACUCGCGGCUUAUCAGCUUGUUUGUGGGGUAGUGGCUUACCAAGGCUUUGACGGGUAGCCGGCCUGAGAGGGUGACCGGCCACAUUGGGACUGAGAUACGGCCCAGACUCCUACGGGAGGCAGCAGUGGGGAAUAGUGCACAAUGGGAGGAAGCCUGAUGCAGCAACGCCGCGUGCGGGAUGACGGCCUUCGGGUUGGAAACCGCUUUCGCCUGUGACGAAGCGUGAGUGACGGUAAUGGGUAAAGAAGCACCGGCUAACUACGUG